GUUAGCUGCAGCAUUUAAAGUGAAAAUAGUGAGAGGGACUGGUUCCUGGGAAGAACUUAACUAAGAGUGUACAGUUUUGACUACUGCAUGUACCUCUUCAGCUCAUCAUAUCUCCUCACCUGGCAACCUGGACUUGCAAGUAUUCUAAAGAGAUGUGUGUGGAAUAGAGUGGUGGAUGGAACUCUACCUGCCUUUCAACAUGCAAAAAGAGACUUUUGUAUUAGAAGAUGAAGACCUUAAUUUAGACAACUUUGACCCAGAAAGUUACCUGUUAAAUUGGAGAAAAAACUGGUGUGGUAUCAACUCCUCAAAUAUAUGGACUAUCAUCUCAAGACUUAAAUAGUGAGGGAUUGUUUCCUUGACUAAGAAACAUUAUGCUGCAAAUGACUAAUGACUCUGUUUCAAAAUACAGAUUAUGUUGGUUUACAUUUCAAAGUAUUUAGCAUAUUUUCUUAAAGGGAGAUGUUCAUAUCCAAUUGUUAUUCUCCACUAGCUUCUCCAAACUUUCACAUAAUUUCUUGCGAAACUGACUGAAGUCAAAUUUCUCUCUUGAUAUUGAAUUAUUACUAGCUGGAACUCAGAAUAGUGAGUGUAA